AGGACACCAUCUGAUGAUUAUGGAAAAUGUUGCAUCCACACGAUCACACGUCGGGCCAAGACAACAACCGACAAAAGCCGACAUCUCCACCCUACCAACCAACCCAUUCUCCUCCCCACCAUCUCCUCACCUCCUUACCUGCCCCUACCUUACCUGGUGGCGGUGAUCGGAAGCCAGGCGUACAAGGCGACACCUGGCGGUACACGGCUCGGCGCGCCAGUCAAGCGGGGUAAGCGUGUUGGUGCCCCGUAAGAAGGAAGGAUGUGCCAAGUGAACCGUCAAGGAAGGGUGUUACGGCGUGCUUCGACUAUACAUAUGCAUCCAAACAUACAUCAGCUGUGCGAAGGUCGUAACAUCACCACCACCACCACCACCGUCAGCAUCAUCAUCAUAAAUGGGGU